AAUGCCACCACCACACCACAAUACUCCAUGGCCGAGAAAACAGAAAAUGCAGCGAGCUCUCUCUCCCUCUCUAACUAUCUCAAUUCAGAGACUGAAACCAAAAGUGCGUGUGAGAAAUAGAGAAAAGAGAAGGACAAACAAAGGAGUAAUAAUGAGAAUGCUGAAAUUUGAAAACCCUAAAAUCGGGGGGUUUUGUGGGAUCACUGUUGAAGAAGAGAGUAUCAAAGGAAGAAAGAGACGCACAAGAC
rnacentral:misc_RNA from 1 species